rnacentral:rRNA from 1 species
AUUGAACGCUGGCGGCAGGCCUAACACAUGCAAGUCGAGCGAGCCGCGGACGUGUGUGUCAUGUAUUGGGACCUGCCCGAUAGAGGGGGCUAACUACUGGAAACGGUGGCUAAUACAGCACUCCAUCAGCUGACCCCAUAUGGGUUUACCUGGUAGGUAAGGUAACGGGUUACCUAGGCGACGUUCCAUAGCUGGUCUGAGAGGAUGAUGAUCCACACUGGGACUGAGACACGGCCCAGACUCCUCAGGGAGGCAGCAGUGGGGAAUAGUGCACAAUGGGCGCAAGCCGGAUGCAGCCAUGCCGCGGGUAUGAAGAAGGCCUUCGGUUUGUAAAUUACUUUCAGUCGGGAGGCGUUACCGAAAGAAGAAGCACCGGCUAACUCCGUGCCAGCAGCCGCGGUAAUUC